rnacentral:miRNA from 2 species
AAACAUUCGCGGUGCACUUCUUU